GCAGGAUGGAGAGCAGGUGCUACGGCUGCGCUGUCAAGUUCACCCUCUUCAAGAAGGAGAUUGGCUGUAAGAACUGUGGCCGGGCCUUCUGUUCCAGCUGCCUUAGCUUCAGUGCAGCGGUGCCCCGGGCCGGGAACACCCAACAGAAAGUCUGCAAACAGUGCCACGAGGCCCUGACCAGAGGAUCUUCUCCUGCCAGUGCCUCCAAGUGGUCACCACCUCAGAACUAUAAGAAGCGUGUGGCAGCCUUGGAAGCCAAGCAGAAGUCCAGCACUCCCCAGAGCCAUGGACUGACCCCACAAGACCAAGCCAUCGCUGAGCGCCUAGCACGGCUCCGCCAGGAGAACAAGCCCAAGUCAGUGCCCUCACAGGCAGAGAUAGAAGCCAGGCUAGCCGCACUGAGGGGCGAAACCCAGAGUUCCAUCGCUUCCACCCAGGAGAUGGAGGCACGGCUUGCCGCACUGCAGGGCAGAGUUCCACCUUCUCAGACCCCCCAGCCGGCGCAUCAGCCACCAGACACCAGGACCCAGGCCCAGCAGGCGCAGGAUCUGCUGACACAGCUCACAGCAGAAGUGGCUAUUGAUGAGAGCUGGGAUGGAGGAAGCCCAGCUGCCGCUAUUCAGAAUGACCUCAACCAGGGUUGGCCAGGCGGCCUGAGUGCUAAUUCCAAGGGGCAGGCCACCCGGUCCCUGGAUGGAGAGAAGAGCAGGCUGCUGGCUGAAGCUGCGGUCGAGCUGCGGGAGGAGAACACGAGGCAAGAGCGGAUCCUGGACCUUGCCAAGCGCCUGGCUGUGCUUCGGGGACGGGACCCUGACAGAGUGACCCUCCAAGACUAUCGCCUCCCAGACAGCGAUGACGAUGAGGAUGAGGAGACGGCCAUCCAGAGAGUCCUGCAGCAGCUCACUGAAGAAGCUGCCCUGGAUGAGGCAAGUGGCUUUAACAUCCCGGCAGAGCCAACACUCCAACCCCCGGCCAAAUCCUGCAGGGCAGAGCCUCAGGCCCAGGCUCUGGCCCCCAGGCCUGAAGCUGAGGAGGAGCAGCUCCCCUGGUGCUGCAUCUGCAAUGAGGAUGCCACCUUGCGCUGUGCUGGCUGCGACGGAGACCUCUACUGUGUCCGCUGCUUCCGGGAAGGCCAUGAUGCCUUUGAACUUAAAGAGCACCAGACAUCUGCUUACCACCCCCCACAUGCAGGCCAAGGACACUGAGGACACCCCGGCCUCCCAGGAAGGUCGUCCUACAGGCAGUCACACAGGCUGGGGCACCCACCUCUGGGCCCAGACUUGGGGCAUCUGAUGGGAGAGCAUUUCAAGCUAGACUGCUCAUGGGUGCACCCUUUCCUGAGCCUCCAUGUCCAUGAAGGGGGAAGGAUUCUGCAUUGGAAAUGGUGGCCGGAGGAGCCGAGGGAAGGCAGGAGUCAGGAGCCCUCCACCAGCAAAGCCUGGACUGGAAAGACCAGACUGAAUCUAAGAAUGAGCCUUGAAACCUGCUCAAGCGCCCCAGCACUUAAUGUAUCAAAUAAACACAGACAUGCUCCACACUCCAUUCAGCUGGGACUCCUAAAGGUUUUAUCCACUUGGCUGUCAAGGAAAACACUGGGCAGCAGCCAUGACUGGCUCCCAGAAAGCCCAACUGACAGGAACCAGCUGUGACUGUACAUGCAGCAGGGGUGGCACAUGUGACCUCCU